GACGAACGCUGGUGGCGUGGAUUAGGCAUGCAAGUCGAACGGUAUCAUCCUUUCGGGGGUGAGAGAGUGGCGAACUGGUGAGUAACACGUAGGUUAUCUACCCUCAAGACGGGGACAACCCAGGGAAACUUGGGCUAAUACCGGAUGUGAGCAACUUUUAGUUGUUUGAAAGGUGGCGUAAGCUGUCGCUUGGGGAUGAGCCUGCGUCCUAUUAGUUAGUUGGUGAGGUAACGGCUCACCUAGGCAAUGAUAGGUAGGCGGCCUUAACGGGUGGUCGCCCACACUGGGAUUGAGAUACGGCCCAGACUCCUACGGGAGGCAGCAGUCGAGAAUAGUCUACAAUGGUCGGAAGACUGAUAGUGCGACGCCGCGUGAACGAUGAAUCCCUUCGGGGUGUAAAGUUCUUUUAUAUGUGAGCAGUGCUUCUUAUAUUAACAGUAUGGGGAGAGAGAUAUUAGCAUAUGAAUAAGCAACGGCUAACUCCGUGCCAGCAGCCGCGGUAAAACGU
rnacentral:rRNA from 1 species